rnacentral:rRNA from 1 species
GCAUAAUAAUUUGUCUUUUAAAUAAAGACUAGAACAAAAGAUUUAACAUUUCAACAUAUAUUUUUAAACUAAUAUUUUAAAAUUUUAAAAAAUGUCAAAAUACAUUUAUAUUUAAGAAAGACGACAAGACCCUAUUGAACUUAACUUAAGUUAAACUGGGGUAGUUAAUUAAUUAAAACUUUAAUUAAAAUACAUUUUUAUUUAUCUAAACUAUUAAUAAUUAAGUUACCAUAGGGAUAACAGAGUAAUUAUAUUUAAGAGAUCUUAUCUAAAAAAUAGAUUGCAACCUCGAUGUUGAAUUAAUAUCCUAUUUUAAGCAAAAUUAAAAUAAGGAAGUCUGUUCGACUUUUAAAAAAUUACAUGAUUUGAGUUCAGACCGGUGUAAGCCAGGUCAGUUUCUAUCUUCUAAUAUUAUAUUUAUAGUACGAAAGGACCUAAAUACAUAAAAUACUUAUUUUAUUGGCAGAUAAAUGCAUUAGAAUUAGAAUCUAAUAAAACUAAC